UACGUAGGGGGCGAGCGUUGUCCGGAAUCUGGGCGAAAGAGCGUGUAGGCGGCUUGGAAAGUCUUCCGUGAAAUCCCUCGGGCUUAACUGAGGACGUGCGGAAGAAACUGCAAGGCUCGAGUCCGGGAGAGGGGGUGGAAUUCCCAGUGUAGCGGUGGAAAUGCGUAGAUAUUGGGAGGAACACCGGUGGCGAAGGCGGCCCCCUGGACCGGUACGUG
rnacentral:rRNA from 1 species